GGUUAAGCGACUAAGCGUACACGGUGGAUGCCCUGGCAGUCAGAGGCGAUGAAGGACGUGCUAAUCUGCGAUAAGCGUCGGUAAGGUGAUAUGAACCGUUAUAACCGGCGAUUUCCGAAUGGGGAAACCCAGUGUGUUUCGACACACUAUCAUUAACUGAAUCCAUAGGUUAAUGAGGCGAACCGGGGGAACUGAAACAUCUAAGUACCCCGAGGAAAAGAAAUCAACCGAGAUUCCCCCAGUAGCGGCGAGCGAACGGGGAGCAGCCCAGAGCCUGAAUCAGUGUGUGUGUUAGUGGAAGCGUCUGGAAAGGCGCGCGAUACAGGGUGACAGCCCCGUACACAAAAAUGCACAUGCUGUGAGCUCGAUGAGUAGGGCGGGACACGUGGUAUCCUGUCUGAAUAUGGGGGGACCAUCCUCCAAGGCUAAAUACUCCUGACUGACCGAUAGUGAACCAGUACCGUGAGGGAAAGGCGAAAAGAACCCCGGCGAGGGGAGUGAAAAAGAACCUGAAACCGUGUACGUACAAGCAGUGGGAGCACGCUUAGGCGUGUGACUGCGUACCUUUUGUAUAAUGGGUCAGCGACUUAUAUUCUGUAGCAAGGUUAACCGAAUAGGGGAGCCGAAGGGAAACCGAGUCUUAACUGGGCGUUAAGUUGCAGGGUAUAGACCCGAAACCCGGUGAUCUAGCCAUGGGCAGGUUGAAGGUUGGGUAACACUAACUGGAGGACCGAACCGACUAAUGUUGAAAAAUUAGCGGAUGACUUGUGGCUGGGGGUGAAAGGCCAAUCAAACCGGGAGAUAGCUGGUUCUCCCCGAAAGCUAUUUAGGUAGCGCCUCGUGAAUUCAUCUCCGGGGGUAGAGCACUGUUUCGGCAAGGGGGUCAUCCCGACUUACCAACCCGAUGCAAACUGCGAAUACCGGAGAAUGUUAUCACGGGAGACACACGGCGGGUGCUAACGUCCGUCGUGAAGAGGGAAACAACCCAGACCGCCAGCUAAGGUCCCAAAGUCAUGGUUAAGUGGGAAACGAUGUGGGAAGGCCCAGACAGCCAGGAUGUUGGCUUAGAAGCAGCCAUCAUUUAAAGAAAGCGUAAUAGCUCACUGGUCGAGUCGGCCUGCGCGGAAGAUGUAACGGGGCUAAACCAUGCACCGAAGCUGCGGCAGCGACGCUUAUGCGUUGUUGGGUAGGGGAGCGUUCUGUAAGCCUGUGAAGGUGUGCUGUGAGGCAUGCUGGAGGUAUCAGAAGUGCGAAUGCUGACAUAAGUAACGAUAAAGCGGGUGAAAAGCCCGCUCGCCGGAAGACCAAGGGUUCCUGUCCAACGUUAAUCGGGGCAGGGUGAGUCGACCCCUAAGGCGAGGCCGAAAGGCGUAGUCGAUGGGAAACAGGUUAAUAUUCCUGUACUUGGUGUUACUGCGAAGGGGGGACGGAGAAGGCUAUGUUGGCCGGGCGACGGUUGUCCCGGUUUAAGCGUGUAGGCUGGUUUUCCAGGCAAAUCCGGAAAAUCAAGGCUGAGGCGUGAUGACGAGGCACUACGGUGCUGAAGCAACAAAUGCCCUGCUUCCAGGAAAAGCCUCUAAGCAUCAGGUAACAUCAAAUCGUACCCCAAACCGACACAGGUGGUCAGGUAGAGAAUACCAAGGCGCUUGAGAGAACUCGGGUGAAGGAACUAGGCAAAAUGGUGCCGUAACUUCGGGAGAAGGCACGCUGAUACGUAGGUGAAGUCCCUCGCGGAUGGAGCUGAAAUCAGUCGAAGAUACCAGCUGGCUGCAACUGUUUAUUAAAAACACAGCACUGUGCAAACACGAAAGUGGACGUAUACGGUGUGACGCCUGCCCGGUGCCGGAAGGUUAAUUGAUGGGGUCAGCGCAAGCGAAGCUCUUGAUCGAAGCCCCGGUAAACGGCGGCCGUAACUAUAACGGUCCUAAGGUAGCGAAAUUCCUUGUCGGGUAAGUUCCGACCUGCACGAAUGGCGUAAUGAUGGCCAGGCUGUCUCCACCCGAGACUCAGUGAAAUUGAACUCGCUGUGAAGAUGCAGUGUACCCGCGGCAAGACGGAAAGACCCCGUGAACCUUUACUAUAGCUUGACACUGAACAUUGAGCCUUGAUGUGUAGGAUAGGUGGGAGGCUUUGAAGUGUGGACGCCAGUCUGCAUGGAGCCGACCUUGAAAUACCACCCUUUAAUGUUUGAUGUUCUAACGUUGACCCGUGAUCCGGGUUGCGGACAGUGUCUGGUGGGUAGUUUGACUGGGGCGGUCUCCUCCUAAAGAGUAACGGAGGAGCACGAAGGUUGGCUAAUCCUGGUCGGACAUCAGGAGGUUAGUGCAAUGGCAUAAGCCAGCUUGACUGCGAGCGUGACGGCGCGAGCAGGUGCGAAAGCAGGUCAUAGUGAUCCGGUGGUUCUGAAUGGAAGGGCCAUCGCUCAACGGAUAAAAGGUACUCCGGGGAUAACAGGCUGAUACCGCCCAAGAGUUCAUAUCGACGGCGGUGUUUGGCACCUCGAUGUCGGCUCAUCACAUCCUGGGGCUGAAGUAGGUCCCAAGGGUAUGGCUGUUCGCCAUUUAAAGUGGUACGCGAGCUGGGUUUAGAACGUCGUGAGACAGUUCGGUCCCUAUCUGCCGUGGGCGCUGGAGAACUGAGGGGGGCUGCUCCUAGUACGAGAGGACCGGAGUGGACGCAUCACUGGUGUUCGGGUUGUCAUGCCAAUGGCACUGCCCGGUAGCUAAAUGCGGAAGAGAUAAGUGCUGAAAGCAUCUAAGCACGAAACUUGCCCCGAGAUGAGUUCUCCCUGACUCCUUGAGAGUCCUGAAGGAACGUUGAAGACGACGACGUUGAUAGGCCGGGUGUGUAAGCGCAGCGAUGCGUUGAGCUAACCGGUACUAAUGAACCGUGAGGCUUAACCUU
rnacentral:rRNA from 1 species